AGAUUGCUUCUGCUGGUGUUUUGUGAGUGAGCCCAGGAUAGAGCCAGUGGUUUGGUUCGGUAGUGGAAGAGCUGAAACGGGAAAACAUUUGACUUAUAAGAAAAGUUUAUUGGAAUUGCUGUGGCUGGCUGGCUUGUGGAAAUGUUUAUGCCUGUGAAAAGAAGUCCAGUU